rnacentral:rRNA from 1 species
AAUGAACGCUGGCGGCGCGCCUAAUACAUGCAAGUCGAGCGAGAAGACGUAGCAAUACGUUUGUAAAGCGGCGAACGGGUGAGGAAUACAUGGGUAACCUACCCUCGAGUGGGGAAUAACUAGCCGAAAGGUUAGCUAAUACCGCGUACGCUUCUUGGACUUCGGUUCAGGGAGGAAAGCGAUACCGUGGGUAUCGCGCUCUUGGAUGGGCUCAUGUCCUAUCAGCUUGUUGGUGAGGUAACGGCUCACCAAGGCUUCGACGGGUAGCUGGUCUGAGAGGACGAUCAGCCACACUGGCACUGCGACACGGGCCAGACUCCUACGGGAGGCAGCAGUAAGGAAUAUUGCGCAAUGGGCGAAAGCCUGACGCAGCGACGCCGCGUGGGGGAGUGAAGGU